CAACCCUCAAGCCUGGCUUGGUGAUGGGGCACUGCCUGUGACAGGGCAGGCCCUGAAAUCCAGCGGCGAGCCCGCCGGGACCCCGAGCGUAGUAGUUACUUCUCGCUCCGGAAGGCCCUGGCGGCGCCCUGCCGUUAAACCCCCAACUCCUGAAA
rnacentral:misc_RNA from 1 species